UAUCGGAAGGGGAAGUAAUCCGAAACAUGGCGUCCGACCGAAAGAGGACACAUGCCAGUUUCAUGAAAUUUUUUCCAUUUAAACAGACAAAUAGUAUAGUAUGACAAUAUGCAGCCUGUACCGAAAGAUAUGGCUAAAGCACUUGAGAUAGAGUGUGGAUACUGUGAUGACGAACAUGAUGUUGCGGACUCGGAGUUGCCAAUUGCGUACAACGAGCUUCGACAUCGUGAAAAAAUUGAGGGUUCAAAAAAGGUCACGCAGUCGUGGCGAAUGAAAGAGCGUAUGAAGACUGUAAGUGUUGCCCUUGUGUUAUGUUUGAAUGUUGGAGUAGAUCCACCAGAUGUUGUAAAGACAUCUCCAUGUGCUAGGUUGGAAUGCUGGAUAGAUCCUCUAGCGCAGAGCCCUCAGAAAGCCCUAGAAGCUAUAGGAGCUAACCUGCAAAAACAGUAUGAGAGAUGGCAACCAAGGGCACGUUACAAGCAGACCCUGGACCCUACUGUAGAAGAGGUUAAAAAAUUGUGCACAUCACUGCGGCGAAAUGCAAAGGAAGAAAGAGUUUUGUUCCAUUACAAUGGACAUGGUGUACCAAAACCAACUGUGAAUGGAGAAAUCUGGGUAUUUAACAAGAGUUACACACAGUAUAUACCACUGUCUAUCUAUGAUCUACAAACAUGGAUGGGAAGCCCUUCUAUAUAUGUAUAUGACUGUUCACAUGCUGGAGUGAUAGUGGAUCUCUUCAAACAGUUUUCCAUACAGAGGGAACAAGAAUCAGAGGCUGUGAAUGGCAAAUCCCUGUCAUCAACUGCAACUUCCACAAUGAAACAUUGUAUACAGCUGGCUGCAUGCGGUGCCAAUGAACUACUGCCUAUGAAUUCUGAACUUCCAGCUGAUCUUUUCACUUCAUGUCUAACUACACCUAUCAAAAUUGCCCUCAAAUGGUAUGUGCUGCAGAACACAAGUAAAUUGGUACCUGGCCUCACACAAGACUUGGUUGAUAAGGUUCCUGGUAUGUUGAAUGACAGAAGAACUAUGUUGGGAGAACUGAAUUGGAUAUUUACAGCUAUAACAGAUACCAUAGCAUGGAACACUCUCCCUAGAGAUGUGUUCCAAAGAUUAUUCCGUCAAGAUUUACUGGUUGCAAGUUUGUUCCGUAACUUUCUGCUGGCAGAGAGAAUCAUGCGAUCUUACAACUGUACUCCAAUAUCUGGACCAACUCUGCCACCUACAUAUCAGCAUCCUAUGUGGCAAGCAUGGGACCUAGCGUUAGAUCUAUGUUUGAGACAGCUGCCCAAACUGCUGGAAGAUGACAGUGCAGUAUUUCAACACAGUCCUUUCUUCACAGAGCAACUAACAGCGUUUGAUGUCUGGUUGAAGUAUGGAGCAGAAAGUCGUGCUCCACCAGAGCAACUGCCUAUUGUGCUACAGGUGUUACUAAGUCAGGUGCACAGACUGAGAGCUCUAGAACUUCUUGGGCGAUUCCUGGAUCUUGGACCUUGGGCUGUCAGUCUGGCUUUAUCAGUUGGAAUAUUUCCAUAUGUGUUGAAGUUACUGCAGAGUAAUGCAAGGGAAUUGAGACCACUUCUUGUCUUCAUCUGGGCUAAAAUACUUUCAGUUGACAGUUCAUGUCAAGCAGAUCUUGUGAAAGAUAAUGGACACAAGUACUUCCUGUCUGUAUUAGCUGAUCCAUACAUGCCGUCUAAACAGAAGUCAAUGGCAGCAUUUGUGUUGGCCAUGAUGGUGAAUGAAUACAGACAAGGGCAGGAGGCAGCUCUGCAGGGCAGUGUUGUUGCCAUUUGUUUGGACCAGCUCUACGAUUCAAGCCCAUUGUUGCGCCACUGGCUUGCACUGUGCCUAGCUAAGGUGUGGACAAACUUUGACAGUGCACGUUGGUGUGGUGUGCGAGAUACAGCUCAUGAGAAACUCUAUAAACUGUUAAAUGAUGAGGAACCAGAAGUGCGAGCUGCAGCAGUGUAUGCUCUUGGUACAUUCAUCAGUAAUGUUAGUGAGAAAAGCGACCAUGCUACCAGUAUAGAUCUUGGUGUUGGUAUGAAACUUGUACAGGUUGCUCACGAUGGCAGUCCACUUGUUAGAAAGGAACUGGUUGUUGCUUUUGGAGGAUUAGUUUCUCACUUUGAGACUCAGUUUGCCGUUGCAGCUACACAGUUGAUUGAGGAUGAGAAGAUACGGGACCGGACACCCGCUGUACUGACAGGAGAGGCUCCGGGUGGGUGGAAUCUUGUAUCCCCUGGCUCCCCAGAGGGAGUAUUUACCGGACUUUCAAGUUCGAAUAAUUUGAAGAGAUCAUCAUCCCGAGGCAGCCUCCGAGCCCUUCUCUCCUCCACUUCUUCAGCCACCUCAGUUGCUCCAAGCCCCCUUGCAGUACCUAAUUCAUCAUUUGCUAGCUCCUUGGAGAACCUGUCACAUCUUGAGCUACCAUCUACAUCAACACGUAUCCCACGUGCCAUGUCAACUAAUGCAAUAUCAAACCUCAUGUUCAACAAUGUUUAUACCAAUGUGUGGAAAGCACUCACACAGCUGUCCAUUGAUCCAGAGUCACAAGUUGCUGGUAUGGCAAAAUGUCUGGUGAGACUAGUAAAGUCAAAAAUAACGACAAACAGCAAACCUCGACAUAUGCCAAACAGCAGCACAAGUAGCUCACAGUCUGCUCCAUCUAGCCCCUCAAAUAAAGUCCUCACUGUAGGGACACCACCUCAGUUAAGUAGUGUGUUUGAAGAAUCCUUAGAACAGAAACGCGAGUCUCCAUCACGCAUCACUAUAGUACCAAACCCAGCAAGUCCAUAUGCAUACUCAGCACAGUUCAGUAGGUCCAGAAAAAUGUUUGACAAGGGACCAAACACGGACAUGAAAUUGUUUGAAAACCAGAUUGAGGACAAAGAUGAUGAGAAAGAUGGUAAAGGUCAGAUGCAUAGUAUCAGUACAGAGUUCUUUGAGUGGAGUUGUAAACAUUUUGUUCAGCCUAUUAUGAGAUUGUCUGACGAGGAAGACAGUGAGAGUAGUUCAUACCUGCAGAGAGAGUUCCGAUUUGACAGGAAUACACACGUGAGAGAGGAGGCACAGGAUGAACAAGCAAAGGCUGGUUUCAACAGACUAGACAACGAGAUAUUUGUGAAUAGAAAUCAAGGAAUACCGUCUGUGAUAAAAUUCCAUCCAUAUGAGUCUGAGUUAGCUGUAGCUGACAAGGAUGGCGUUGCGUUUUGGGACUGGGAGCAAGGUCCGAAACUUGGCUACCUGGUAAAUGGUAACCCCCGUCACACAAGAAUAACAUCACUGGAAUAUAUCAAUGCUCAUGAUAACACACUGCUUCUUUGUGGAUCAGAUGAUGGUUGUGUGAAGCUGUGGAGAAAUUAUAUCUCAGAUAACGAGUCUGAGAUAGAGCUGGUCACUGCAUUCCAGGCUGUUAGUGAAAUGUUACCACUUAACAGAGGUUCAGGGUUGAUCAGUGACUGGGAACAGGAUACAAGGAUUCUACUUACCAUCAGUUGAUGUUAGAUUUAUGUGAUGAUACAAUAGGGUUAUUCCCACAAGGUGCUUGCGCCAUGAGUGAUCCGGUCUGGCAAAAUCACGAGAGUCACAUGCAUCAUUGCAGAUCAAGGUUCAGGGUUGGUCAGCUACUGGGAACAGGAUACUGGAAUGUUACUUACCUCAGGAGAUGUUAGAUUUAUCAGGAUCUGGGAUUCACAGAAAGAAAUCAAAG
rnacentral:misc_RNA from 1 species